AUUGAACGCUGGCGGCAGGCCUAACACAUGCAAGUCGAGCGGAGCGGCGGACGGGUGAGUAAUGCCUAGGAAUCUGCCUGGUCGUGGGGGAUAACGUCCGGAAACGGGCGCUAAUACCGCAUACCAUCAGCUGAGACUAGGUCGGCUGAGCUAGUUGGGAGGGUCAAGGCCGACCCAGGCGACGAUCCUUAACUGGUCUGAGAGGAUGAUCAGUCACACUGGAACUGCGACACGGUCCAGACUCCUACGGGAGGCAGCAGGGGGGAAGAUUGGACAAUGGGCGAAAUCCUGAUCCAGCCAUGCCGCGUGUGUGAAGAAGGUCUUCGGAUUGUAAAGCACUUUAAGUUGGGAGGCGUUACCAACAGAAUAAGCACCGGCUAACUUCGUGCCAGCAGCCGCGGUAAUUC
rnacentral:rRNA from 1 species